UUCGUUCGCGGUAUUAAAAGU
ensembl:piRNA 21ur-6241 ncRNA